GGGGAAUAUUGGGCAAUGGGCGAAAGCCUGACCCAGCAACGCCGCGUGAGGGAAGAAGGUUUUCGGAUUGUAAACCUCUGUCGCAGAUGACGAAGAAAGUGACGGUAAUCUGUGAGGAAGCCCCGGCUAACUACGUGCCAGCAGCCGCGGUAAUACGUAGGGGGCGAGCGUUGUCCGGAAUUACUGGGCGUAAAGGGUGCGCAGGCGGUUCUUUAAGUUGGAUGUGAAAUACCCGGGCUUAACUCGGGGGGUGCAUUCAAAACUGGGGAACUAGAGUUCAGGAGAGGGAAGCGGAAUUCCUAGUGUAGCGGUGAAAUGCGUAGAUAUUAGGAGGAACAUCAGUGGCGAAGGCGGCUUCCUGGACUGACACUGACGCUGAGGCACGAAAGCGUGGGGAGCAAACA
rnacentral:rRNA from 1 species